rnacentral:rRNA from 1 species
GGGUAGUCCUAGCUGUAAACACUGCCCACUUGGUGUUGCUUCUUCGUAUAGGGGGGAGCAGUGCCGGAGCGAAGGUGUUAAGUGGGCCGCUUGGGGAGUAUGGUCGCAAGGCUGAAACUUAAAGGAAUUGGCGGGGGAGCACCGCAACGGGAGGAGCGUGCGGUUUAAUUGGAUUCAACGCCGGAAAACUCACCGGGAGCGACCUUUGGAUGAGAGUCAACUUGAUGAGUUUACUCGAUAGAAGGAGAGGUGGUGCAUGGCCGUCGUCAGCUCGUACCGUAGGGCGUUCACUUAAGUGUGAUAACGAGCGAGACCCCCCAUCCUUAAUUUGCAAAUCUCAGGGUGACUUGAGACGCACUUUAAGGAGACCGCCAGCGCUAAGCUGGAGGAAGGAGAGGUCGACGGCAGGUCAGUACGCCCCGAAUCUCCCGGGCUACACGCGCGCUACAAAGGACAGGACAAUGAG